rnacentral:misc_RNA from 1 species
CCCCUGCCCACUGCUUGACAUGGACCUGCCAAUCUUGAACCGGCCUGACUGACAAGAGGUCGAAGAAGUGCCUGCUGCCUCCUUCUCCUUGACCCUGAAGACCUUCAUCUCUCGAGCAUUUGGCAACUUGCAAUUAUACUGCAUGACAUCAUCCUGAGCUUCAGGAACAGCUACGAGAAACAAUGGAGAAUCCAUGGAUGCCGAGCGCCUAAUAGGCUUGGGAGUGGCCCUUCCAUUCUCCUCCGCUGUUGCCGUUGUGCCGUCACUUUGAGUGGAUGACGAGUCCUCGUAGUCCUCUGAGCCCUCAGUCUCCGAUUCAGAUUGAGACAACGACAUUUCCUCGUGAGCAUGGUGUUCUCCCGAUGGGUCACCACCUGCCUCAGCCUCCGCGGCACCGACGGGGAGAUCGGAGGGAAUGACGACGACGGGGGAACGGCAGAUUGGGCAGUUGACGUGGGCGCGGAGCCAGGUGUCGAUACAGGGCGCAUGGAACGGGUGCGCGCAGCGCGGGAGCAGGCGCACCAGCUCCCCAUCGCUGAACUCGCCGAGGCACACCGCGCAGUCCCCGCCCCGGCCCACCCCGCGGCGGUACUCCACUGCGGCUAUGGACGCAAUGGUGGCCUCGUCGAGCCCCACUGUCCGGAUGUACCACACGUGGUGCACCACCCCUCCACCGCCUCCGCCCUCCUCCUCGUCGC